rnacentral:rRNA from 1 species
AUUGAACGCUGGCGGCAGGCCUAACACAUGCAAGUCGAACGAGGGGCGGACGGGAGAGUAAUGUCUGGGAAACUGCCUGAUGGAGGGGGAUAACUACUGGAACCGGUAGCUAAUACCGCAUACCAUCAGAUGUGCCCAGAUGGGAUUAGCUUGUUGGUGGGGUAACGGCUCACCAAGGCGACGAUCCCUCGCUGGUCUGCGAGGAUGACCAGCCAGACUGGAACGAGGACACGGGCCAGACUCCUACGGGAUGCAGCAGUGGGGAAUAUUGCACAAUGGGCACAAGCCUGAUGCAGCCAUGCCGCGUGUAUGAAGAAGGCCUUCGGGUUGUAAAGGACGUUCAGCGGGGAGGCGUUACCCGCAGAAGAAGCCCCGGCUAACUCCGUGCCAGCAGCCGCGGUAAUAC